GACGAACGCUGGCGGCGUGCUUAACACAUGCAAGUCGAACGGAAAGGCCCUGCUUUUGUGGUGUGCUCGAGUGGCGAACGGGUGAGUAACACGUGAGUAACCUGCCCUUGACUUUGGGAUAACUUCAGGAAACUGGGGCUAAUACCGGAUAGGAGCUCCUGCUGCAUGGCGGGGGUUGGAAAGUUUCGGCGGUUGGGGAUGGACUCGCGGCUUAUCAGCUUGUUGGUGGGGUAGUGGCUUACCAAGGCUUUGACGGGUAGCCGGCCUGAGAGGGUGACCGGCCACAUUGGGACUGAGAUACGGCACAGACUACUGCGGGAGGCAGCAGUGGGGAAUAUGGCACAAUAGGCGGAAGCCUGAUGCAGCAACGCCGCGUGCGGGAUGACGGCCUUCGAGUUGUGAACCGCUUUCGCCUGUGACGAAGCGUGAGUGACGGUAAUGGGUAAAGAAGCACCGGCUAACUACGUG
rnacentral:rRNA from 1 species